CCAAACCACAAUGGAACACAAAGGGACUGUAGACAUCUUAAGCAGUGUUGCUUUAGGAAGCAUUAAUGUUUUUUGUUGUUGUUGUGGUUAAUCAAGUCCAUUUCUCCCAGCUGUCUUCCAGAGCCCUCCCAACCUCCUGUGUAGGUGGAGUGGGAGGGUGGGGGGGGGGGGGCUCAUGGAAGUGUGUUUGGGGUGGUCCUCUGAAACUGUCUAGAAGUACUGCUGGUUGCCUCUAGCAUGUCUGCCUUGGGGAAGAUUCAGGGCUCCAGCAGAGCCAUCAAAUAUCUCUUCUUCAGAUCAACUGGACAAAGGAGGUUGGUGUACAUAUACCCUGUCUGCUGUUGUCCAGAAAAGAACUCCUCUUCCUGUUAAGCAUCGCAACAAACCAGUUGGACAGGACUCUGCAGCAUUGAGGCAGCCUGGAGUACCUUUGUAGGCUAUGUCCAGGGAUCAGAAGGUCAGCAGGAGUCAGCGAGGCUGGGUCACUAGAUCCCCCCCUUGUUGGAACUUGUAGGUCACAGUGACAUCCAACGGAUUCAUUAACAUAGCAAUCGCGAAAGAGACUAGAAGGCCCGGCUUCCGGCGAAUGCCACGCUUUUGUUUUAAAUCCCCACAUUGAAUCC
rnacentral:lncRNA from 1 species